AUGGAACAGAUCCUUCUGGAUGCUUCACUACGGCACAUGGAAGACAGGAAGGUGAUACAGGAGAAACAGCACGGCUUCAACAAGGGCAAAUCCUGCUUGACCAGUUUAGUUGCCUUUUAUGAUAGUGUCAUUGUGUCAAUGGAUGAAGGAAGAGUCACUGGUAUCAUCUAUCUGGACUUCAGUAAAGCGUUUGACACAGUACCCCACAACAUCCUUCUCUCCAAAUUGGAAAGAUAUGGAUUUGAUGAGUGGAUUGUUCAAUGGAUAAAGAACUGGCUGCAGGAUGAAGCUCAGAGAGUGAUGUUUGAUUUUUCCAGGAAUAGUGGUCAUUUCUUCAGCAAAGCCCAAUUGCCAUUCAUAGCACACAUUCCUUUCAGCCUCAUCAGCCAUCCCAUGCACAGUGCAAAGUGCAAGCGUGCUUACUGUCAAUUGACAGGAAGAAAAAUGCUAUCACUAGGCCAGUGCCUGUUGUGGCAGAUUUGCAAAAUGGAAAUCUUCAAAGCCUUACAAGGCAUUAAAAUCAGUGGUAACAUGCUGAUGAUGAGAUGGAGACUGCUUUUCUCAAGAGAAACACUGCCCCUUUACUGGGAGCCAAACAGCAACCCAAGCAGAAAGUAUGAGUUAAGUGGGGAGCAGCACAGAACUCAGGGCUCAACCAGCAUGAAUGAGAUCUAACAAAUUCUGUGACAG
rnacentral:lncRNA from 1 species